rnacentral:rRNA from 1 species
UACGAAGGGGGCUAGCGUUGCUCGGAAUCACUGGGCGUAAAGCGCACGUAGGCGGAUCGCUAAGUCAGGGGUGAAAUCCUGGAGCUCAACUCCAGAACUGCCUUUGAUACUGGCAAUCUCGAGUCCGGGAGAGGUGAGUGGAACUGCGAGUGUAGAGGUGAAAUUCGUAGAUAUUAGGAAGAACACCGGUGGCGAAGGCGGCCCACUGGAUCGGUACUGACGCUGAGGUGCGAAAGCGUGGGGAGCAAACAGG